rnacentral:rRNA from 1 species
CAGGCCUAACACAUGCAAGUCGGACGGGAUAAGGGAGCUUGCUUCCUUUGAGAGUGGCGCACGGGUGCGUAACACGUAUGUAACCUACCUUUACCAGGGGGAUAGCCUCUCGAAAGAGAGAUUAACACCGCAUAACAUCAGAUUAUAGCAUUAUAGACUGAUCAAAUAUUUAUAGGGUAAAGAUGGGCAUGCGGAACAUUAGCUAGAUGGCGGGGUAACGGCCCACCAUGGCGACGAUGUUUAGGGGAUCUGAGAGGAUGGCCCCCCACACUGGUACUGAGACACGGACCAGACUCCUACGGGAGGCAGCAGUAAGGAAUAUUGGUCAAUGGGCGGAAGCCUGAACCAGCCAUGCCGCGUGCAGGAAGACGGCCCUACGGGUUGUAAACUGCUUUUAUACGGGAAUAAACCCUGAUAUGUAUAUCAGGCUGAAUGUACUGUAAGAAUAAGGAUCGGCUAACUCCGUGCCAGCAGCCGCGGUAAU